GUCUAUCUUCGGGGCAGGGUGAAAUUCCCGACCGGCGGUGAUGAGGCAAGUUGCUCUAAGCCCGCGAGCCUGUUUUAUUGGGCAGGAUUUGGUGAGAUUCCAAAGCCGACAGUACAGUCUGGAUGGGAGAAGAUGGAG
rnacentral:ncRNA from 17 species